GACGCUGGCGGUAGGCUUAACACAUGCAAGUCGUGCGAGAAAGUAUCUUCGGAUAUGAGUAGAGCGGCGGACGGGUGAGUAACGCGUAGGAAUCUACCUAGUAGAAGGGGAUAGCCCGAGGAAACUCGGAUUAAUACCGUAUACCUCCUUAGGGAGAAAGAGGGCCUCUCUUGAUGCUCUCGCUAUUAGAUGAGCCUGCGUAAGAUUAGCUUGUUGGUGAGGUAAUGGCUCACCAAGGCUACGAUCUUUAGCUGGUCUGAGAGGACGAUCAGCCACAUUGGGACUGAGACACGGCCCAGACUCCUACGGGAGGCAGCAGUGGGGAAUAUUGGACAAUGGGCGCAAGCCUGAUCCAGCCAUACCGCGUGUGUGAAGAAGGCCUUCGGGUUGUAAAGCACUUUAAGCAGGGAGAAAAAGUUAUAAGUUAAUACCUUAUAACCGUGAUGUUACCUGCAGAAUAAGCACCGGCUAAUUCCGUGCCAGCAGCCGCGGUAAUACGGAAGGUGCAAGCGUUAAUCGGAAUUACUGGGCGUAAAGCGCGCGUAGGUGGUUUGUUAAGUUGGAUGUGAAAGCCCUGGGCUCAACCUAGGAACUGCAUCCAAAACUAACUCACUAGAGUACGAUAGAGGGAGGUAGAAUUCAUAGUGUAGCGGUGGAAUGCGUAGAUAUUAUGAAGAAUACCGGUGGCGAAGGCGGCCUCCUGGAUCUGUACUGACACUGAGGUGCGAAAGCGUGGGUAGCGAACAGGAUUAGAUACCCUGGUAGUCCACGCCGUAAACGAUGACAACUAGCUGUUGGGAGACAAUGUCUUUCAGUGGCGCAGCUAACGUUUUAAGUUGUCCGCCUGGGGAGUACGGCCGCA
rnacentral:rRNA from 1 species